GAGUUUGAUCAUGGCUCAGAUUGAACGCUGGCGGCAUGCCUUACACAUGCAAGUCGAACGGCAGCAUGAUCUAGCUUGCUAGAUUGAUGGCGAGUGGCGAACGGGUGAGUAAUACAUCGGAACGUGCCCUGUAGUGGGGGAUAACUAGUCGAAAGAUUAGCUAAUACCGCAUACGACCUGAGGGUGAAAGUGGGGGACCGCAAGGCCUCAUGCUAUAGGAGCGGCCGAUGUCUGAUUAGCUAGUUGGUGGGGUAAAGGCCCACCAAGGCGACGAUCAGUAGCUGGUCUGAGAGGACGAUCAGCCACACUGGGACUGAGACACGGCCCAGACUCCUACGGGGGGCAGCAGUGGGGAAUUUUGGACAAUGGGGGCAACCCUGAUCCAGCAAUGCCGCGUGUGUGAAGAAGGCCUUCGGGUUGUAAAGCACUUUUGUCCGGAAAGAAAUCGCACUUACUAAUAUUAGGUGUGGAUGACGGUACCGGAAGAAUAAGGACCGGCUAACUACGUGCCAGCAGCCGCGGUAAUACGUAGGGUCCAAGCGUUAAUCGGAAUUACUGGGCGUAAAGCGUGCGCAGGCGGUUGUGCAAGACCGAUGUGAAAUCCCCGGGCUUAACCUGGGAAUUGCAUUGGUGACUGCACGGCUAGAGUGUGUCAGAGGGGGGUAGAAUUCCACGUGUAGCAGUGAAAUGCGUAGAGAUGUGGAGGAAUACCGAUGGCGAAGGCAGCCCCCUGGGAUAACACUGACGCUCAUGCACGAAAGCGUGGGGAGCAAACAGGAUUAGAUACCCUGGUAGUCCACGCCCUAAACGAUGUCAACUAGUUGUUGGGGAUUCAUUUCCUUAGUAACGUAGCUAACGCGUGAAGUUGACCGCCUGGGGAGUACGGUCGCAAGAUUAAAACUCAAAGGAAUUGACGGGGACCCGCACAAGCGGUGGAUGAUGUGGAUUAAUUCGAUGCAACGCGAAAAACCUUACCUACCCUUGACAUGCCACUAACGAAGCAGAGAUGCAUUAGGUGCUCGAAAGAGAAAGUGGACACAGGUGCUGCAUGGCUGUCGUCAGCUCGUGUCGUGAGAUGUUGGGUUAAGUCCCGCAACGAGCGCAACCCUUGUCUCUAGUUGCUACGAAAGGGCACUCUAGAGAGACUGCCGGUGACAAACCGGAGGAAGGUGGGGAUGACGUCAAGUCCUCAUGGCCCUUAUGGGUAGGGCUUCACACGUCAUACAAUGGUGCAUACAGAGGGUUGCCAAGCCGCGAGGUGGAGCUAAUCCCAGAAAAUGCAUCGUAGUCCGGAUCGUAGUCUGCAACUCGACUACGUGAAGCUGGAAUCGCUAGUAAUCGCGGAUCAGCAUGCCGCGGUGAAUACGU
rnacentral:rRNA from 1 species